AACAGCUUUUAAUCUGAUGGUUAUUACACAGUCCUGUACUUCUUAAAGAGUUUCUAAUCAAAGCACCAAGUAACCCUAAGAAUCGAUCCCCUAAACUCUAACCUAGCUUUUACAUUAGUUUUUAAGCAGGCUUUCCUAGUAAAUAAACAUUUAUCAGCUGUUUACUGUUGCUGGUAAAUGGGCUAAAUACUUUCAUAAUGAUAGUGAUAAUAAUGAUGUCACAUUCAGUGCCGACUGUGCUCUGCACUGGCACGAGGGAGCGGUGCAUUUUAACAUUUAGUCCCCGCAACAGCCCUGCAGAGGAAGUGGUAGUCCCAUUUUCCAUACCGCCACCCUGAGGCAGAGGGAGGCGGCAAGGGGUGCCCAGGCGGUGCGUGGGGGCCCGGCCCCCGGCCCUCACUGACGGCGCAGCGCCCCCUCGCGGACGACCCGUUCCACCCUCAGUGUGAUCUGUGCUCUGGCUGCUACUUUGCUCUAUACAGGUGAAGAAAUGGGCUCAGACGUUGUGGCUAGUGUCCCAGUUUGCUCAGGACUUGAGGAAUUUCUCUGGACUUUCAGUGCCAAAACGAUACAUCCAAGCAAGCAGAGACAAGUUGGCCGCCCUUCUGGAAGAUGCCGCGUUUUCAUCAACAUCGAGGCAGACCCGCCACCAACAGAAAGAUGACGACUUGCUGAGGCUCCGAAGAUGGCUAGCAUUUUAAAUUAAGCAAAACCUGAAAGGGGUCCUGGAGCCGCUGGCAAAGGUGCUUCCUCGGGUGAAGUGCACGAGUUCCAAACGUCUUCAUCGUGUGCAGGUGCCGUGCUAGGGACGUGACAGUGGAGGGCGCCGUUAAUUC